GGGUGGGGCAAAGUCUCUACAGAUCUCCAAGGAGGGUCAAACAGUGUUAGGUUGAUGGAGUCUCAGAUAUGGCACCAGUCUGCUGGCUCUAUGGGAGGAUGGUUUAGAAAAGGGAUAAUGGUCUCUGCUGUCCUUGAUGCCAGACACUUCAGUUUCUCCCUGUAUGCCACUGGUACCUUUCAAGCUGCCAUCCAGGUGCCGGAGCUCUGAGGGACUGAGUCUGAGUAGGUGAGUCCGUGUGUGGGUUCUUUAAGAGGAACUGCUUAGAGCUCCAGCAGUUUCUUCCACUGACUCAAUCCCU